GCAUAUUAAUAAGCGGAGGAAAAGAAACUAACCAGGAUUUCCCUAGUAGCGGCGAGCGAACAGGAAACAGCCCAGCACUGAAUCCCGCGGUUCUGCCGCAGGGAAAUGUAGUGUUCGGGAGGGUCCACUCAUCCCGAGGCGUCGGACCGCGUCCAAGUCCAUCUUGAAUGGGGCCACUUACCCGCAGAGGGUGCCAGGCCCGUAGCGACCGGGACGCGCCUCGGGAGGAUCUCUCCUUAGAGUCGGGUUGCUUGAGAGUGCAGCUCUAAGUGGGUGGUAAACUCCAUCUAAGGCUAAAUACGACCACGAGACCGAUAGCGAACAAGUACCGUGAGGGAAAGUUGAAAAGGACUUUGAAGAGAGAGUUCAAGAGUACGUGAAACCGUUCAGGGGUAAACCUGAGAAACCCAAAAGAUCGAAUGGGGAGAUUCAUCGUCAGCGAGGCUGGCUUCACGGAGGUUCGUGAUGGCGCGCGAUGCCCCUCGCGGGGUAUGCUCGCGUCACGCGUCCUUCGCGCCAUGUCCGGUCGCGUCGGCGUGCACUUCUCCCCUAGUAGGACGUCGCGACCCGUUGGGUGUCGGCCUACGGCCCGGGUGGAUGUCUGCCGCGUCGCCUAGCGCGAGCGCGUCAAGCCCCCGGUCGCCCGGCCGGCUGCUCGGCGGUACACGCACGGUAUCGGGCCGCAUUCCUUCGAACUGCGUCGGGCCCGUCGCAAGCGCGGCCAGCGUAUAAACCGGAGGUCACGGACCUAGCGCCGUCCCCGGUCCUGGCCAGCUGUUGGCUCGACGGUGUCCUCUGACAGGCCAAGAACAAUCUCACGCGAUACCGGUCGGCGACGCUACUGCUUUGGGUACUCUCAGGACCCGUCUUGAAACACGGACCAAGGAGUCUAACAUGUGCGCGAGUCAUUGGGACGAGCAAGCCUAAAGGCGCAAUGAAAGUGAAGGUACGGCCCUAGCGCCGACCGAGGGAGGAUGGGCCGCGUCGCGAUGCGGCUCCGCACUCCCGGGGCGUCUCGCUCUCAUCGCGAGAGGAGGCGCACCCAGAGCGUACACGUUGGGACCCGAAAGAUGGUGAACUAUGCCUGGUCAGGACGAAGUCAGGGGAAACCCUGAUGGAGGUCCGUAGCGAUUCUGACGUGCAAAUCGAUCGUCGGAACUGGGUAUAGGGGCGAAAGACUAAUCGAACCAU
rnacentral:rRNA from 1 species